GUGGGGAAUAUUGGGCAAUGGGGGAAACCCUGACCCAGCGACGUCGCGUGAGGGAAGAAGGUCUUCGGAUUGUAAACCUUUGUCAACAGGGAAGAAGCAAGUGACGGUACCUGAAGAGGAAGCCACGGCUAACUACGUGCCAGCAGCCGCGGUAAUACGUAGGUGGCGAGCGUUAUCCGGAAUUACUGGGUGUAAAGGGUGUGUAGGCGGGGAUGCAAGUCAGAUGUGAAAUCCAUGGGCUCAACCUAUGGUGUGCAUUUGAAACUGUAUUUCUUGAGUGUGGGAGAGGUAAGCGGAAUUCCUAGUGUAGCGGUGAAAUGCGUAGAUAUUAGGAGGAACACCAGUGGCGAAGGCGGCUUACUGGACCACAACUGACGCUGAGACACGAAAGCGUGGGGAGCAAACAGGAUUAGAAACCCCUGUAGUCC
rnacentral:rRNA from 1 species